CUUAGGUUCAUUGUGAACACAUUCUCCUUAUUUACCGUAUAUUUGCAUUUCCUUUCUUUCACAUUUGAGUGAGAACCUUUUCACAGAAAGUAUGGACAAAAGGGAGAAACACACAGGUAUCUGCGAAAUCUUUAAAGAAAAGCUUCAGUCUGAAAUGAACCAUAUUCUACUUCUGUUCCUGCUGUAAAGAGGACACCAGGCAUCCCACAGACUGCAUGCAACAAAAUGACCACUAUCAGAAAGGUGAAGUUUACCAGCAGUUCACUACGCAGAGCUAUCUCUAACACCAGCAUGGAGAGGGAAGCAAGACUCUGUCAGCCCAUUUCCAGGUAAACUCCAAGCUGAAGUAGGAGCAUUGCCACCUGCGAAGCAUCAGAACAAAAUUACAUAAAGGACAUGGUGUCAAAAACCACAAGCAUUUGCUUUGGAAGAGUAAUAUGAUAAAAGGUGCAAUCACUGAUGGAAAGACUCUGAGCAGGAGGUAAAAGUAGGCACCUCAGUGUUUUAAAACAUGCUUUGCUUAAGUGGUAAACAAGAUUUUUUUUUUUUAACAGGGUGGUUUAGGAAUGCUCUGCCUCCAUCAAUAGAAUGUUACUCUCUAAUGAACAUGGAGAUCAACAGGGAGUGGUGAUAAAGUAAAGGUUCUGCUCUUUUCUCUGUUGCUGUGUAACAUCUAAUUCAUUAGUUAGUGCUUAUACACUGCAGCGCUCCAGAUCCAAUUACAGCAACCCUUUAAGCACCUCCCUAGGCACAUGCUCAAGUGUUUCCUGAUAACAGGCAAGGAUUAUCUGUGUGGUUUAGCUUAUAAUUAGAUCUUAUUAAUAACUGGAGCAAGGGUUGUUAUUAUUGACAUAACUUAACGAAAACCUCAUAAUACUUAUCACUGUAAAAAGGCAUCAUCUCAUCCUUGAGCAACAGAACUAAAAUUCAUCAUAACAGGAAUGAAGUUAGCCACUUGAUUUAUAAAUAGUUGGAUGUUAAAAAUACGGGGUGCUUGAGCAGUAAGCACACACAUUAAGCUUUUCCAUAAUUACUGAAUAUUUUUCACUGACCAUAUACCACAACAGUCGCAGACAUGCUCCUUCUCUUGGCAACAAUGUUAGCAGCCAUGCAGGUAUAGUUCCCAGAGUCAGACAGACGUGCCUGACGAAUGAUGAGGUUGUGGUCUGCUCUGGUGUCAAUGUUCUCAUCCAGGUUCGAAUCAAUGGGCUCCUCAUUCUUUAACCAUUCCACCUGCGGAGAGAUGGAGAAGAGAAAAUCAUGAAAUAUGAAAAGAUGGAAGCAGGAAGUCUGCAAAAUUAUUCCAAUAUUUCAAAGAAUUCAUUAAUAAAUUUCAUUUUAACCUCUAUUACAAUCAUUAAGAUAAAAACAAAGCUAGAAUACAGUUCCCAACAAGGCAGAUAUUCACAAGCUGAGAAAAGAAACCAUUCCUAUCCUGAAAGCCCUGGAGCUUAUUACAAAGGCACAACAAACACAACGCUAGCUGGUAUUGUAAAAGAGAAAAAAAAAUGGCACAAGCUCAUCCAGAGUUGCAAGUAAUGUGGAUUAUAAGGAAGGGGUUAUUUUUGUUCUACUGGGGGAAAGGGAAGAUAAGGAAGAAGGGGAUAGGAAAAAGAAAGGAGGAGAAAAAUUAAUCACUGUUUUCCUUGUGCUGUUAUGUAGUUAGGAAGCUUUAAUAUUUAAUCCUAGGAAUCAGAAAGCUAAGAUAAAAAACAUGGGGUCAUUCUAGUUGAACAUAUCAUUUACCCCUGGUUCUCUUCACCAUAAGUAGUAAAACUUGAACAUGAAAUCAUUUUCUUAAAUAUUUGCAUCUUAUUAUUUCCCCUAUAUUUCUUCUUGAAUCUAUAUCCUGCAUUUUGUUUUCUUUGCAACUAUUCAUUUAUCCAAGUAUUGUCAUGUUUAGGAGAGUCCUUUUGGUUUCCCUAAGAGAAUGAAAAAAUGGGGAAAAUAUCUGUAAACCUGUAAAGCCAAACCAAGGCACUUGAUGCAUUAGUCUGAUGUCCUUAUUAUUUUGAUAGGAAAGUAUUUGUUGGGACUCAAGGAGCAGAGAGACACACAUGACCAAAUGAGAUCAGCAGUCUAAGUGAAAGUCAACUAAUGACUAUCACGUUUUUUUCUAAACCUCGGGGGUAGUAGGUAUGGGCCAGUAACUUAGCAAGACUAAUUUUUAUUCAAAGGAAAUGGAAUAAAAUCUUAACCUCUUAAACACUUAUUUUUCUCUCUUGGAAUUAAGAUGACUGCUCUUGAUAUAUACUGCUUUAUAUGUUUGAACCAUUGUACAAUGAAAAAUUAAGUGUCAUACUACCCAGGGAUGAUACAUGGAUAAUUAUUGUUAAUUCCACUUUUUUGAGAGAGAAACAGAGAAAGGAUGAAAUCACUUGCUCCACAUCACACACAGUGAAAGAGCUAAGUCUUCAUAACAGACUCCCAGUCUGAAUAAACAUCCUUCAACCAGGAAGCCAUUAGUAUUUGUUGCCAAGGAACAUUAAUGUUGUAUAUAAUAUAUUCCUAUACAUCUCCUCUAGUUCACCAACCAGUGUUUCUCUGAGUAGACCCAGGAAUUAACUGCAAAGCAUUUCUCUACUUGAAACAUUUAAACAAAAUGCUUGAGGCAUGGUAAGCUGCUGUGACAGAACUGAAAAAUUAAAAAUAGAAGCAGAAAAAACAGAUCCUAUUAAAAGACUUAACAAAUGUGACUCAUUUUAAUAGCUUUUCUAGACCUGAAGGAGGUAUGGUUGUACCCUGAAGCCAAAUACCUUUCUCAUCUCAGUACAGAUGAAUAACCUCAUUUGGGAACUUGUGGCAGGACUUGUAACUUUGAGGUAAUGAGCCUAUGGAUUUGCUAGCUACAGGCAUUCAUUAGCACACUGUUCUGUGCAGAUGGUCUGCAAUUUGUAGAUUUUCCAGUUUAUAAACAAAUCUGCAAAAGCUGACCAUCAAAGCCAAUUAGUUUUCAUGCCAGACAGCAGGUUUCUCUUCCAGUGGCAUCAGUCAUUUUGCUUAGCUGGGGACAGAAGGUGUGCGACUGACAUAUCCAUAGCUUCUCACACCUCCAUGUCACAGCAUGGUCAGCUGGGAGCUUAUCUUGAAAAGAAUCUGGGUUUAUGGCACUGUUUCCUUACAUGGUAACUCUGGGAGUAAACAAACAGAUUGCUUUACAGAUCUGUUAAAAGAGGCAUUAGCUGAGUAUGAAAUAUAUUACACAUUUAAUACAGAAAGUAGUCAAAAGAUUUUAGUUCAAUGAACUUUUCUCCCCUGACACUGUUAGCCAUCAAAGAUAAAAUGUCAUCAUUAAGGUUACCAUUCAGCAUUCAAAACUUACCUGUUUUUAUUUCUACGUCCUCAUAAGGCUCUGUCAUAAUGCUGAGUUUUGUUGUGUUGUUAUUUUGCCGCUCAGAUUUUAACUUUUUUUUUUUUUUAAAACAACCUCCUUUGCGAAAGUUUAAAAAGUUUUGUGGGGACUUGAGCUUGUAUGGUACAGUGCACAUCAGAAUAAGCAUUUAGAGUGAAGUAUCAAGACAGUGAAUUACUAAGGUAAGCUUCAGCUCAUCAAAGAAACCAGUGCAUGUCACAUGUACUCUGUUGUUCAGCCUCAAAGAUGAUCCACAGAAUUGUUUAAGUAAACCUGGAGGAGACUUUGAGCCAAAAGUCCCACUCCCUGACUUUAUUCUCCUUACUAUUGUCAUGAGAUAUCGAUCAGUCAGUCACGGUCUGUCCCAAGCUUAACACACCCAGUAGUUUAGGCACCCCAAUUUCCACUACGAAAAGCAUCCUAGGAAAUCACAUGGCUAGCAUUCAUACUCCUUUCCUUUCAUACCCCAGUCUAGAUGACCUAGCAGACACUUUGAUCUGUACUGACUGAAGGUGGCCAGCUACAGCUCUGGAGUAGUAGCAAAACAACCUUAUCAAAGCCAGUACUCCUGAACUCUUCCUUAAUAGUAUCUAUUUGAAUGUAUUCACCCAGUUAUAUUAUAUUUCCCUUUGGUCUGGGUAAAACAAGGAACAAUCAAGUAAUCCAUCUCCUAUUCAGUCUCCCUUGUGCAGUUAACUUUAAUACUAGUUAUCGCGGAGUAGGUUCCAAAACAGAAACUAGGAAUGCAAUUUAAAUCAUGGAACAACAGCACCAGUGUAAAACAAGUGACAGAAAUUCAAUGGUCACAGUCAGAAUUAAACCCACUUUAUGUGCAGUGUAAUGACAAACACAGAUAGCAAUAUUCAACGAAAUGACAAACCCAACUAGUAUUACUGGAGACUGCAGUCCAUAGUUUCACAAGUAUAUACAUAAAUUUUUCAUUUUGGCUCUAUCAUCAUAUGAGUUUUGUGUGGGGUUUUUUUUUUUUUUUUGAUUGUUAGGCUCGUUUUUGAUGGUUCUGAUUUCUGUUACACCAGCACUUUGGAACCUCAGGCUAUUUUUCCUCUAGACAGCUCAGUAUUUUCCAGGAAAGAGCACACUGAUCCAUUGUUUACUGAGCAUAGGACUGCAAGGCAUGGUGAAUGAAAAACGUUUACAUUAAUGCAAAGCAUUUAAAAGAAUGAUGAUCAGUGUGAAGGGAGAACAUUAAACAGACGGCACAUAAACGUGAAAGUGUUGAGAUGUGCAAUCAAAAGAUGAUUUGUAAAUGAAAGCAUUCAUUGCCUUUUGCUUAUCUGGAGGCUUGAUGACACUGCGAAUACUCAUCUCUAAUUCCAGCCUCCCCCUUCCUUGAAGAAAAAAAAGGACUGCUUCAGACUCACUCACUGUCUUUACCUCAGCAGACUAAUGCUUUCAAAGAAGAACUACGGGUUGAAUUUAAAGGAUAAACUGAUAAAUUUAAGGGACUCUUGAUGACAAAAGAUUGUUGUUACCUGCAGUGAUGCAAGCUUUCUUUUGAGAAUUUCAAGACAUACAUUCACAUCAACCAAAUGAAAUAAAGGCAACAAAGAAACCAACCAUGUCUUCAUACUGAAAUGAGGCCUGCGUUCUGACUUUCCAACCUGGGACCUCUGAGGAGUGGACUCAAAACUCAUCAGCAUUUAACCUCCCUUGCUUUAUCAUCAGUGGAGGUCAUACAAUUGCUUGUAACACACUGAAAAUACAUUUCCUUCUUUAA